UUUUUUUUAAGGUUUGACCUGCCCACUGAUGUAUUAAAUGGCCGCAGUAUAUUAACUGUGCAAAGGUAGCAUAAUCCUUAGUCUUUUAAUUGGGGGCUAGAAUGAAUGGUUGGACGAGAUAUCGGCUGUUUCAUAUAAAUUUAAGAUAGAAUUUUAUUUCUUAGUAAAAAAGCUAAAAUACUCUUAAAAGACGAGAAGACCCUAUAAAUCUUCAUAUUUAGGUUUUUAUAAUUAUAUAGAAAUUUUUAGUUAUAAUUAUUCGUAAUAUUUUAUUGGGGUGAUAUUAAAAUUUAAUUAACUUUUAAAUUGAAAGAAUCCCUAACUUUUGAGGAAUUGAUCCGUUAAUAGCGAUUAAUAACUUAAGUUCCUUUAGGGAUAACAGCGUAAUUUUU
rnacentral:rRNA from 1 species